rnacentral:rRNA from 1 species
AUUGAACGCUGGCGGCAUGCCUUACACAUGCAAGUCGAACGGUAACAGGUCUUCAGAUGCUGACGAGUGGCGAACGGGUGAGUAAUACAUCGGAACGUGCCUAGUAGUGUGGGAUAACUACUCGAGAGAGUGGCUAACACCGCAUGAGCUCUACGGAUGAAAGCAGGGGAGCGCAAGACCUUGUGCUACUAGCGCGGCCGAUGGCAGAUUAGGUAGUUGGUGGGAUAAAAGCUUACCAAGCCGACCAUCUGUAGCUGGUCUGAGAGGACGAUCAGCCACACUGGGACUGAGACACGGCCCAGACUCCUACGGGAGGCAGCAGUGGGGAAUUUUGGACAAUGGGCGAAAGCCUGAUCCAGCAAUGCCGCGUGCAGGAUGAAGGCCUUCGGGUUGUAAACUGCUUUUGUACGGAACGAAAAGCCCCGGGUUAAUACCCUGGGGUCAUGACGGUACCGUAAGAAUAAGCACCGGCUAACUACGUGCCAGCCGCCGCCGUAA